rnacentral:rRNA from 1 species
AUACGGAGGAUCCGAGCGUUAUCCGGAUUUAUUGGGUUUAAAGGGUGCGUAGGCGGCCUUUUAAGUCAGCGGUGAAAGUCUGUGGCUCAACCAUAGAAUUGCCGUUGAAACUGGGGGGCUUGAGUAUGUUUGAGGCAGGCGGAAUGGGUGGGGUAGCGGGGAAAUGCAUAGAUAUCACGCAGGACCCCGAUUGGGAAGGCAGCCUGCCAAGCCAUGACUGACGCUGAUGCACGAAAGCGUGGGGAUCAAACAGGAUUAGAUACCCUGGUAGUCCACGCAGUAAACGAUGAUCACUAGCUGUUUGCGAUACACUGUAAGCGGCACAGCGAAAGCGUUAAGUGAUCCACCUGGGGAGUACGCCGGCAACGGUGAAACUCAAAGGAAUUGGCGGGG